CGAGAGAUACAGAGUUUGAUCMUGGCUCAGAKYGAACGCUGGCGGCAGGCCUAACACAUGCAAGUCGAGCGCCGUAGCAAUACGSAGYGGCAGACGGGUGAGUAACRCGUGGGAACGUACCCUUUGGUUCGGAACAACWCAGGGAAACUUGDGCUAAUACCGGAUAAGCCCUUACGGGGAAAGAUUUAUCGCCGAARGAUCGGCCCGCGUCUGAUUAGCUAGUUGGUGAGGUAAYGGCUCACCAAGGCGACGAUCAGUAGCUGGUCUGAGAGGAUGAUCAGCCACAYUGGGACUGAGACACGGCCCARACUCCUACGGGAGGCAGCAGUGGGGAAUAUUGGACAAUGGGCGCAAGCCUGAUCCAGCCAUGCCGCGUGAGUGAUGAAGGCCYUAGGGUUGUAAAGCUCUUUYGWGCGGGGAAGAUAAUGACGGUACCCGCAAGAAKAAGCCCCGGCUAACUUCGUGCCAGCAGCCGCGGUAAUA
rnacentral:rRNA from 1 species